rnacentral:lncRNA from 1 species
AUUGUUGUGGUGUUGGCUAUAAGACCCCCACCUCCUCAAACUCCUUCUCCUAGUGUUCCAUCACCCUAUGUUUCAGCACCACCAAAAGCUCCUUAUGUUCCAACACCCCCAAAAUCUUCAUCUCCAUCACAAGCUCCUUCUAUACCUAAAGCUCCAUCACCCUAUGUUCCAACACCUCCACAAGCUCCUUCCCCAUUAUAUUCUCCUCCAAAUGUUCCAAAAUCUCCAUCUCCUAGUGUUCCAAAUGCCCCUCUUGAAGCUCCUUCUCCUAGUACUAACACUCCUUAUGUUCCAACUCCCACAAAAACACCCUCUCCUAUUUCUCAACCUCCCUAUGUACCAACACCUCAAAACACUCCUUCUCCUACUAAUCAACCACCAUAUAUAUCAACACCUCCAAAAACUGCUUCACCCAUUUCUCAGCCUCCAAAAAGUGGUUCCCAUAUUUCUCAACCUCCCUAUGUUCCAACACCUCCAAAAGCUCCAUCCCCCAUUUCUCAACCUCCAAAAACUACUCCUUCUCCUAUUUCUCAACCACCC